GGAAUAUUGCGCAAUGGACGGCAGUCCGACGCAGCGACGCCGCGUGGGUGAAGAAGACCUUCGGGUUGUAAAGCCCUUUUCUGGGGGAAGAGCAAGGACGGUACCCCAGGAAUAAGUGUCGGCUAACUACGUGCCAGCAGCCGCGGUAAUACGUAGGACACGAGCGUUAUCCGGAUUUACUGGGCGUAAGGCGCCUGUAGGUGGACGAACAAGUCGGCUGUGAAAGCCCUGGGCUUAACCCGGGGAGGCCAGGCGAUACUGUUCGACUUGAGGGUGACAGAGGGGAGUGGAAUUCCCGGUGUAGCGGUAAAAUGCGCAGAUAUCGGGAGGAACACCAGUGGCGAAGGCGGCUCCCUGGGUCAUACCUGACACUGAGAGGCUAAAGCUAGGGGAGCGAACAG
rnacentral:rRNA from 1 species